CAUCCACAAUGAAAUAUUUGUAUUGUUUACUAAGAAAACCAGGCCUUGAGGCUUACUUUGUAGGAAAAUAUAUCUGCUUACAUGGUUAGAGUUAAAACUACUUUGGUCACAGGGGACCCAAAGCCUAACAUGAAUUUACAGUGCCACAAAUAAUAGGGGUAUCAUUUCUAGAAACCUAAGCCAGGAAUAUGAAAGCUAUUCAAUUUCAUCUAAAAUUAGGGUACUAAUACAGGCAUACCUCGGAGAUAAUUGCAGGUUUGGUUCCAGACCACUAUAUUAAAGUGAAUUUUGCAAUAAAGUGAGUCACAUGAAUUUUUAGUUUCCCAAUGCAUGUAAAUAACAAUGUACAUAUCUUAAUUAAAAAAUACUUUAUUGCUAAAAAGAGCUAUCCAUUAUCUGAGCCUUUAGCAAGUCAUACUUUUUUUUUGCAACAGUAACAUCAAAGAUCAUGGAUCACCGAUCACAACAAAUAUUAACAAUAAUGAGAAAGUUAGAAAUAUUCUGAGAACUCCCAAAAUGUGACAGACAGGAAGUGAGCAAAUGCUGUUGGAAUAAUGGCACUGAUAGGCUUGUCUGACAGAGAACUGCCAGAAACCUUCAGUUUGCUGGGAAAAAACCCCACAGUAUUUGUGAAGUACAGGAAAGCACAAUAAAACGAGGUAUGCCUGUAUCCUCUGUGAAGUUGUAGAGUAUUUAUGGAGAUGUCUCAAAAAAAGCACAGUUAUUCAACUGAGUCAGAGCUGCUUCACUUUGAUCAGAAAAUAAUUGUUUUUUUUAAAUUGGGGCAUCUUGUAAGAUUUCAUUUAUAGAAGGUAUUAUAUGUUGAUUUUUUUAAGAGUUUGGGAAACACUAGCUCUAUAUGAUUUCUAAGGCUCUUAUCACUGCUAAAAAUGUGAUUUCAAGUGCUAUCAAGAAACACUAGUAAAAUAGUGUUUUAAGGGAAUUUUAUGACCUUACAGCCAGUGACAGUUUCUGGAGGAAAUAUCACCUAUAUUCUCUGACAGUCCUCAAGACACAUGGACAUGUAAAAGGGAGAAGAUUUAUUCGAUCUGAAGUGAAACCAACACAUUGGGAGCAUUUUUGUUUGUGAUUUCAGACAAAAAGCUUUUAAGUAUUACUUUCUGCUACAGUCUCUUCCUUUUUACGACUGAUGCUGAAGCUGAAACUCCAAUACUUUGGCCACCUCAUGCGAAGAGUUGACUCACUGGAAAAGACCCUGAUGCUGGCAGGCAUUGAGGGCAGAAGGAGAAGGGGAUGACAGAGGAAGAGACGGCUGGAUGUCAUCACCGACUCGAUGGACAUAAGUUUGAGUAAACUCCAGGAGUUGGUGAUGGACAGGGAGGCCUGGCGUGCUGCGAUUCAUAGGGUCGCAAAGAGUCGGACACGACUGAGCAACUGAACUGAUUCCUAAUUUCAUUUAAGGGUUUUGCUUAAAAGUGCUGAUUUUCUAAGUUUCAAGAAAUUCAGAUGUUAAGCUACACUCAACUUUAACGAUUUAAAGACCAAUCACAAAAUUUUCAGCAUUCUUUUUCUAUUUCAAAACUUCUAUCACAUUAUCAACUCAUCAUGGGAAGAAGCACAGAAUCAUGUUAAGAGCUCAACUGUAUACAUAAGGCAGAUGUCACUUCUGUUCUAAACUUCCCAAUAGCUCCCCUGUUUUAUUCAGAAAAGUAUUUUACAAUGGCCUAUAAGGCAACAUGGGCUUCCCCUGUGGUGCAGUGGUGGUAAAUAAUCUGCCUGCCAGUGUAGGGGAUGCAAGAGAUGCAGGUAUGAUCCCUGGGUCAGGAAUAUCCCUUGGAGUAGGAGAUGGCAACCCACCCCAGUAUCCUUGCAUGGAAAAUUUCACGGGUAAAGGAGCCUGGUGGGCUACAGUCCAGGGGGUUGCAAAGAGUGGGACAAAACUGAGAGCAACACACACACAAGGCAACAUAUCUGGCCCAGGCAUAUCUCCAAGCUCAUCUCCUACCACUCUUCUCAUUUGCUCAUUCCGCUCCAGCCACACUAGCUUCUUUGAGCGUUCCUCAAACACACCAGGAUUCCUCUGGCCUAGAUUAACUGUGUGUGCUGACUGCCUGGAAGGUUCCUUCCUCAGUAUCCACAUAACAACACACUAAUCUCCUUCAAAUCUUUGUUCAGUGAUGCCUAGUUAAAGUUUCAAUUUGUAUUCCUCAUCUACUCUGGCAGUCCUUAUCCCCUUUUACCUCUCUCCAUUUUUACUUAUACAUAACUUUUAUCUUGUAACAUACUAUAUGUGUUGCAGACCAAUUUUCAAAAUGGUUACAGCAGUAUUUCCAGUCCAGGUGCUCUUCCAGAAUCUUGCCAUUCACCAUCAAGAGGCUGAGUCUCUCUUUCCCUUGAAUCUGGGUGGGACUCUGCCUCAGUGACUAUAACGCAGGGGAAAUGAUGCUGCACGACUUCUGGGGCCCGAUCAUUAACACACAGAUGCCUUCGGUCUGGUUCUCACCAUGGUGUGGGAAAGCCCAAACCAGUCCAUGGGGAGAGAUCACAAGCGGAGGAGACUGACGCUUUCAGCUGAUGGCCAGCAUCAACCACCAAACAUGCAAUUAGCCUUUCAAAUCUUUCAGCUGAGGGCCCACAUGUAAGUGGAGGAGACAAACUGGCCCCAUUGUCCCUGUCCAAAUGCUGACCCACAGGCUAUGAGAGAUAAUGAACGACUGAUUUACACUACUGUAUUUUCGGGUAAAUUGUUAUACAGCCAUAUGUAACAGAACACUGAAACACUAUAUAUUUUCACUGUGUAUUAUAUUUAUUGUCUACUUCCUUCCACCAGAAUAUAAAUUCCACAAAGGAAGAGAUUUUUCCCUUUUUUGGCUUACUAAUACAUGCCAAGUGGUCAGUAAACAUUUUUUUCAUUAAACAAGCAUUAAUUUCUCAAAGUAUCUGAACAUAUAAGUUUAAACUAAAAGUAAAAAUUGUUGAAAUUAAAGAAGGAAGAAGGAGGUUUUUCUGAAUUAUUUGUGAAUGUAAGUAAUCCCUGACCAAAAUUUUUAGAAAUACCUCAUUAAACAUUAAACAUACUGCUAUUGUCAUUAUGAUGGUUUACCUUUUUAGGCAAGUCUUAAUGCCUAAAGAAAGGAAACGGCAAUUAAAUUUGUUAA